GACCGAGUGGCGAAACAGGCAGACGCACGGGACUUAAAAUCCCGGGAGGCUUAUCACCUCGUGCGGGUUCGAUUCCCGCCUCGGUCA
rnacentral:tRNA from 1 species